rnacentral:rRNA from 1 species
UACGAAGGGGGCUAGCGUUGCUCGGAAUUACUGGGCGUAAAGCGCACGUAGGCGGCUUUCUAAGUCGGGGGUGAAAUCCUGGAGCUCAACUCCAGAACUGCCUUCGAUACUGGAGAGCUUGAGUCCGGGAGAGGUGAGUGGAACUGCGAGUGUAGAGGUGAAAUUCGUAGAUAUUCGCAAGAACACCAGUGGCGAAGGCGGCUCACUGGCCCGGUACUGACGCUGACGGUGCGAAAGCGUGGGGAGCAAACGGG